rnacentral:rRNA from 1 species
UACGGAGGAUGCGAGCGUUAUCCGGAUUUAUUGGGUUUAAAGGGUGCGUAGGCGGGAUGCCAAGUCAGCGGUAAAAAUGCGGUGCUCAACGCCGUCGAGCCGUUGAAACUGGCGUUCUUGAGUGGGCGAGAAGUAUGCGGAAUGCGUGGUGUAGCGGUGAAAUGCAUAGAUAUCACGCAGAACUCCGAUUGCGAAGGCAGCAUACCGGCGCCCUACUGACGCUCAGGCACGAAAGCGUGGGUAUCGAACAGG